rnacentral:rRNA from 1 species
UACGUAGGGUGCGAGCGUUAAUCGGAAUUACUGGGCGUAAAGCGUGCGCAGGCGGUUUUGUAAGCCAGAUGUGAAAUCCCCGGGCUCAACCUGGGAAUGGCAUUUGGGACUGCAAGGCUGGAGUACGGCAGAGGAGACUGGAAUUCCUGGUGUAGCAGUGAAAUGCGUAGAUAUCAGGAGGAAUACCGAUGGCGAAGGCAGGUCUCUGAGCUGAUACUGACGCUCAUGCACGAAAGCGUGGGGAGCAAACAGG